rnacentral:rRNA from 1 species
UACGAAGGUGGCAAGCGUUACUCGGAAUUACUAGGCGUAAAGGGCAGGUAGGCGGUUCGGUUAGUCUGUUGUGAAAGCUCCUUGCUUAACGGGGAGAGGCCAACAGAUACUGCCGAACUUGAGUAUAGGAGAGGGUACUGGAAUUCCCGGUGUAGCGGUGAAAUGCGCAGAGAUCGGGAGGAACACCAAUGGCGAAAGCAGGUACCUGGACUAUUACUGACGCUCAGCUGCGAAAGCUAGGGGAGCAAACAGG